rnacentral:rRNA from 1 species
UACGAAGGGGGCUAGCGUUGCUCGGAAUCACUGGGCGUAAAGGGUGCGUAGGCGGGUCUUUAAGUCAGGGGUGAAAUCCUGGAGCUCAACUCCAGAACUGCCUUUGAUACUGAGGAUCUUGAGUUCGGGAGAGGUGAGUGGAACUGCGAGUGUAGAGGUGAAAUGCGCAGAUAUCGUCAAGAACACCUAUAGCGAAGGCAGCUUACUAAGCUGUAACUGACGCUGAGGCACGAAAGUGUGGGGAUCAAACAGG